rnacentral:other from 1 species
CACUCCCUGGGGGAUGCGCCAGUCGGUUAUGUCCCUGAGCCGAUACGCACAACCACGGGGGGUUGCACGCUGGGGCCGGUGUGCAUGUCCGCCCGACGGAAAGCCUUAACGCCCCCUGCAAUCUCCACCUUGAACUUUCGGGUUCAAGGGCUACACCGAUAGCGGUCUUGUCGGGGAGCCU